rnacentral:lncRNA from 1 species
AGUCUGAGCUGGGCUCUGAAGAACCAGGCUGGCCCUACAUCUCUGAACUCAUGGAGAGGCUGGGGCAUACAUGACCCUGGAGCUUUUAUCAUGUCUAUCCUGUCACAUCGUAAGUCAGACUCAAAGCAUCAAUCACGUCACAGCCCUGGGGUACAGAAGCCACGCAGUUGGAGGAAACUAGCCUGAAUGACACCAGGAAAGGAAAGAGAUGGACUGUUCCAGACACCACCUUCAUAGAUGUUCCAGAAGAAACAAGGCAAUUUUAAUUCGUCUUUAGAGGCAGCCGCAGAGGCUUAUCACGGUAUAGUACCUGAAGAACGGGGAUACAGCUACCCUUCCUCUGCCAGAGAAAGCAGUUAGCAGGAUGUGUUAAACCAGCAGUUUACAACUGGGAGUCAAGGAAGCAGGGCAAUGGAGAGAGGCAAGAUGGCACCGUGGUUGGUGAGAGAAGACUCUGUGACACGAGGAUUGUGACAAUGCAAAAUAGCCGCAUGGGGUGGACUUAUCAAUUGCUGGCAAUAUUACGCACACAAAUACCCAUUGCCUCAGCAAGUGUGCCUCUCAGAAACCGUUUCCAAGGAUGGACUGGCAAACUGACUCUGAAUUGUGUUUUGCCUUAGUACAGGUACUUUCAGCAGGCUACCAAUGAGCUACAUUCAAUAUUUUGAUUGUAGUUACAUAAUAGUGUAAGAGAAGAGGCACAAAUAUCUGUCAGCUUGGUUGAAUAAACUGUGGUACAAACACA